AAACNAACAAGGAUUCCCCUAGUAACUGCGAGUGAAGAGGGAAAAGCUCAAAUUUAAAAUCUGGCAGCUUUGCUGUCCGAGUUGUAAUUUAGAGAAGUGAUGCCCGCGCUGGACCGUGUAUAAGUCUCCUGGAAUGGUGCGUCAUAGAGGGUGAGAAUCCCGUCUUUGACACGGACUCCCAGUGCAUUGUGGUACGCUCUCAAAGAGUCGUGUUGUUUGGGAAUGCAGCACUAAAUGGGUGGUAAAUUCCAUCUAAAGCUAAAUAUUGGCGAGAGACCGAUAGCAAACAAGUACCGUGAGGGAAAGAUGAAAAGAACUUUGGAAAGAGAGUGAAACAGUACGUGAAAUUGUUGAAAGGGAAACGCUUGAAGUCAGUCGCAUUGUCUGGGAAUCAGUCUUGCUUUUGCUUGAUGUACUUUCCAGUUAAUGGGUCAGCAUCAGUUUUGAUCGUUGGAUAAAGGCUGAAGGAAUGUGGCAUCUCCGGAUGUGUUAUAGCCUUCAGUUGCAUACAACGGUUGGGACUGAGGAAUUCAGCACGCCGAAAGGCCGGGUCUUGUACCACGUUCGUGCUUAGGAUGCUGGCAUAAUGGCUUUAUCGAC
rnacentral:rRNA from 1 species